rnacentral:rRNA from 1 species
UGAGGAAUAUUGGGCAAUGCCCGAAAGGGUGACCCAGCAACGCCGCGUGGAGGAUGAAGGUCGUAAGAUUGUAAACUCCUGUUAGAGGGGAAGAAUAACUAAGUUUGGAGCUUAGUAUGACUGUACCCUCAGAGAAAGCCCCGGCUAACUACGUGCCAGCAGCCGCGGUAAUACGUAGGGGGCAAGCGUUGUCCGGAUUUACUGGGUGUAAAGGGCGCGCAGGCGGAAUGGAAAGUCAGUGGUGAAAUCCUACAGCUUAACUGUAGAACUGCCUUUGAUACUUUCAUUCUUGAGUUCGGGAGAGAGAGACGGAAUUCCAGGUGUAGUGGUGAAAUACGUAGAUAUCUGGAAGAACACCAGUUGCGAAGGCGGUCUCUUGGUCCGAUACUGACGCUGAGGCGCGAAAGCGUG